rnacentral:sRNA from 2 species
UCGAGCGAAAGCGAGAAAGCGUUGCCGCAGGCAACGACCCGAAGGGCGAAGCGCGCAGCGCUGAGUAAUCCUUCCCCCACCACCA